GUUUGGUGGAAAGUUUUUUCGGUUGGGGAUGGGCUCGCGGCCUAUCAGUUUGUUGGUGAGGUAAUGGCUCACCAAGACGACGACGGGUAGCCGGCCUGAGAGGGCGACCGGCCACACUGGGACUGAGACACGGCCCAGACUCCUACGGGAGGCAGCAGUGGGGAAUAUUGCACAAUGGGGGAAACCCUGAUGCAGCGACGCAGCGUGCGGGAUGACGGCCUUCGGGUUGUAAACCGCUUUCAGCAGGGAAGAAGCUCCUUGGGGUGACGGUACCUGCAGAAGAAGUACCGGCUAACUACGUGCCAGCAGCCGCGGUAAUACGUAGGGUACAAGCGUUGUCCGGAAUUAUUGGGCGUAAAGAGCUCGUAGGUGGUUGGUCACGUCUGCUGUGGAAACGCAACGCUUAACGUUGCGCGUGCAGUGGGUACGGGCUGACUAGAGUGCAGUAGGGGAGUCUGGAAUUCCUGGUGUAGCGGUGAAAUGCGCAGAUAUCAGGAGGAACACCGGUGGCGAAGGCGGGACUCUGGGCUGUAACUGACACUGAGGAGCGAAAGCAUGGGGAGCGAACAGGAUUAGAUACCCUGGUAGUCCAUGCCGUAAACGUUGGGCACUAGGUGUGGGGGACAUUCCACGUUCUCCGCGCCGUAGCUAACGCAUUAAGUGCCCCGCCUGGGGAGUACGGUCGCAAGGCUAAAACUCAAAGGAAUUGACGGGGGCCCGCACAAGCGGCGGAGCAUGCGGAUUAAUUCGAUGCAACGCGAAGAACCUUACCAAGGCUUGACAUACACCAGACCGUUCUGGAAACAGUUCCUCCCCUUUGGGGUUGGUGUACAGGUGGUGCAUGGUUGUCGUCAGCUCGUGUCGUGAGAUGUUGGGUUAAGUCCCGCAACGAGCGCAACCCUCGUUCUAUGUUGCCAGCACGUGAUGGUGGGAACUCAUAGGAGACUGCCGGGGUCAACUCGGAGGAAGGUGGGGAUGACGUCAAAUCAUCAUGCCCUUUAUGUCUUGGGCUUCACGCAUGCUACAAUGGCUGGUACAGAGAGAUGCGAGACCGCGAGGUUUUAGCGAAUCCCUUAAAGCCAGUCUCAGUUCGGAUCGUAGUCUGCAAUUCGACUACGUGAAGUCGGAGUCGCUAGAAUCGCAG
rnacentral:rRNA from 1 species